CCAUCUAGAACCAGUGGAAAGAAAAAAAAUUUUAACCUACUGUGAUUUCUAUCUUAAAAUUCUGUGAACUUCAUUUUUCCUCAACAUUCAAGGAAAAUGAGAUAAAGAAAAGAAGAAGAAAUGAAUUGAGAUAAAGAAAAUGAGAUAAAGAAAAAAAAAAAAGAAGAAAAGUCCCUAUGGCUUUGGGACUUUUAGGUGGGAAAAGUCUUGUCAGUAUAUAAGUGACAGAACUAUGAGCAAGUUUUAUUUUCUUUUGUGCUUUUCAACAUUUUCUGGAUUUUCUAUAAUACACAUGCAUUUUAUUUCUAAUUUGAAAACAAUGUAAAAUCCGUCUCAACUACCCUGCAUACCUUCUCAUACUACCACCCCCAAACCAACCUAAAAUUUGUAGUCCUCCCAACUCAGACCUUCCACUUUUCAGUGUCACUACAAAAUUAGAUGCCGCCUUCUAAUUUUCCAUUAAAUGAGUAAACUACCAGUGUGCUAUACGGAAGAAUGAUGUAACCACUAUAGUAAUAAAUCCCUUUUGUACUUUUAAAGGGAAUAUUUUUGGGAGAAGGUAUUAGAAAUGUAAAUUAACAAAAACUAUAUAAUUUCAUAUGUCAAAUAUUAUAAGGGACUUAUCUUAAAAUAAUCUAGAUAUCCCUCAUCCUAGGUAACAAAUGGAGCUUUCUCAUCAAUGUAUUGUGCACCAACUAAGUGUCAAACACAGAGCUAGGUUACGUAUGAGUAUAAAACUUUAAAGCAAAGCACAGUCUACAGAGGAAUGAUAAAUCUUUUGGGAAGUUUUGGGCAAGCAUGUGACAGUUUUCAUUAAAAACAGUGAUUCUUAAUGAAGAAAUCCUGUAAAAAGACUGUUUGUACUAUUAAUCUUUGUGGAAUAUUAGACUGUAUUAACAACAAUAAAACAGUCCUAAAUUACAGACUACCAAGUGGAAUGUAGAAAUCAGUUUUCCUUGCUACAGAUGGAGCUAACAAGGAGUGUAAAGUUAACUUAAUGUUGGUUAAUUACAUUUUUGGCCAAUUUGUAGAAAGUUUACACAACUAUAACAUUAGGUACAAAACAUUUAUAGUUCCAUAAAACAGUGUAGUGGGACACAAACAGACCUGAGUUCAAACUCAGAUACACAAUGCAACCAUGAGCAAUUUACUUAACAUUCUUGAACUUAGUUUCCUGGCCCACAAUAUAGAAAUAACACCUACCUUAUUGAUUGUUGUGAAGAUCAAGUAAGGUGUAUAAGAUACUAAGCACAAUGUCUGAUAUGCAGCAAAUAAUUUUAAAAUGUUAUUUGUACUCUCUUAUAAUUCUCUUUUAGUACGAAUAUUAUCUAUACUCUUCUAGAAAGCAAAAACUAUCCUAUCAUCUUUAUAUCCCCCAAUAUAGUUUUGGUAGAUACUACGUAACUGUUUGCUGAAAUUAACCCCUGUAAUUUAAGGGUCACUAUCUCAACUUCCCACUUAUGCAAGUUACCUCUAAAUAAAAUCUGCUGAGAAUGGAAUUUUAAGAUUCCCAGAUCAACACUUUAUCGGACAUUUUGGUGAAGAAAAUGAAUCUCCAAUAAUCAACAAGAUAGCUUUAUUAGCACACUGCUCAAUAUCUGGUUUGCAGUCUACGAAAUUAUCAAUGUAGCCAAUAUUUUCAUUUUGAGAUUCUUUACAGUUUUCAUUAAUCCAGGUUCCUUAGAAAUAAACUUUAUUUGCAUUGCAAAAAUAUCUAAGUUUUCUGCUAUACUUCAAAGAAAAAACAGAGUACAUAAAACAAAUUACUUAUGAGACAAAAAAAUUAAAAAUUGCCAAUUUUAAACAGCCCAUUUUUUUUUACUACAGUAAAUAUUCUUCCUUUUACCUUGAAAUCUCUAGCCACCAAAGUUUACAGUUUAUUAAUGCUUCUUUGUUGAAUAAGCCUCCUGAAUUACUAGCAAUACUUAAAAACAUUACUCCAUGCCAUCACAGUAAUAACAAGACAGAACCCCGUAGUUUCAGAUUUUCUUAUUUUUGCCUUUCCACGACCAAAAGCCUAUUCCAGCUCAGGCAGUGGAGUAUUUCAAAUUCUACAAUUUGAAAAAAUGAUGAAAAGCUGGAUAUAUUUCUAAAUAAAUACCAAUUUCAUUAAAGCUAGGUUGUAAUACGUAACUUUGUAAAACAAGUAUUCCUGAGAUAAGCUAUAUAGCAAAAUAACAGUUUUAUCAUUAAAUACAUCUUAAAACUAAAUACAAAACUUCUUAAAUACUUAAAAUCUGUAUGGCAGAGAAGCAUUAAGAACUUCAUAUUAAGCAGUAUUUCAGUCUAAAUUCAAACAAUCUUAGAAGCUUUUUAAAAAAGUGAUUCUUGAAACAAAAGUUUUAAUAAAUACUUGGUUACUGUACGCGAAGUUUCAGGACUCAAUGAAAUAUAACGUUUGAAUAGAUGGAAAUAUUUGGUGAAGCAAACUUUAUGACUAUUUAUCUUUAAAUGCUGAUUUAAGCAAUAUUCUCAAACAUUUUAAUAAACAAGAUAAAUUUUAAAUGCAAUAAGUUUUAUCAGAACUGGGAGUCAAAUAAACCAAGAAAAUGCCCUGGAUAUAUGACAACCUAUAAGGUAACACUUAAUAAAAACUAUUCCUUCUAUGGAAGGGAUUAUAUUUCAGUUUAUCUAAAAGUUUAACUUCAGGUGUUCCUCCAUUUUGGCCACAUUUCUAAGUCAUCAUAUUUAAAAUUUCUUCCUUCUUUGCUUGCCUCCUUGUUAUCAUCGAAAUUGAUCAUACUAAUUAAAAGAUCCUAAACGUUGUAUUUUAAUACACAUGAAAAUAUAUUUUCAGUUCCACUGCCAAAGUAGGUGUCUUUUAUGCCAACUUUCUAUGAAAUACAAGUACCAAUGCCAAAUAUAUUAUAACACUAACACUGCUCAAUUUAAAAGAAAAAUGACACUAUUAUCUUUCUCAAUCAAAACCAAAGUAUGUUUUUCAUGUUUCAAGACCAGGCAAUGUAAAGCAUUUCUGACUUGCCUCAAAUCAUCUUCAUCUUAAAAGCUUAUGUAAAUUAUUUACUAUUAAUAAAAUAGUAAAUUCCAUUCAUUUAGCUAACUUGGUAUGCUGUAAGAUCUGCUUAUAAAUGGCUAAUUAAAAUAUUACAUAGCAACAUUUCCAGUUAUAUGAAAUUCGGCUGUGCAUUUCCAAAAGUCUAAAUUUGCAACACUGAAUUUGUAUACAGUGUUGAAAUCUCUAUUUUUGUGGAAGAAAUAUCAAAUACUAUACCAAUAUUUUCAAGCUUAUGUCUGACUGCACAAGAAACCAAACUUAUAAAGAUUUAUUAAAAAGUGUAUUUAAACAAGAAAUUUAGAUGCAGUUGCAAUACUUAAUAUUGACAUUAAGAAUCAACUCUUAAGAGUUUCUAGAUUUACUUUUUUAAAAAAAUUAACUAUCCAACCCACAAAAAGAAAUGCAAGCAUGCUAUUUUUUCUCUUAAUUCCCAUCUACAGUCUUCGAGUAGCUAAAAGAUAACAAAGCAAAAUAACUUUUAAGUCUAAAAACAAGCAUGAAAUUUUAACAUCUUUGUUAGAAUUCAGAUGUAAACACCUCUGAACACUCCCAAGUAAUGAAAACCCGUCAGGGUAGCUUAAGUCCCCCAUGUACACCAUAGAGUUCUAAAAACAAAAUUCGUGCCUCCAUCAUCAAAUAUUUAGCUGGAAAUGGGAAAGAAUAAUAUUGCUACUCGACAUGGACUUAACUAAGCGAUCUAUUUUGUUCUCAUCUUUUGAAGACAUGUGGUGCCCAAUGUUUUCCCUUAGUCGACUGCUUUCUCAUUUGUAAACAACUUCUGUAGCUCUUACUCCGGUGCUCAAAUGAGAAGGAAAAUUCAGCAUCUGAGCUUCCGGAUCUGGGCAGGGAUAGCUGAGAAAGGGACCAUGUAUCUACCACUUGGUUUAAAAAAAAAAAAAGGAAAAGAAAAAGAUAGCCCUCAAAAUAGAGAAGAAACACCGUCACCUGACGAGGGCUGGUGAAGUGAAGUAAGCAUUUGGUGAGACAUUUAAAAAAAAAAAAAAAACUUGUCUAGGGGCUGGAAGUUUUGGGGGCACUCUUUGUGCGGAGUCUGAGGAGAGGGGGAGGAACAAAAAAACAGCUUGGGAGUCAUUCAAAGGAGUUUAAGGAGCGGUGUAGGGAGGAAAGGCGGGGCGGGGCCCGGCCGCGCGAAGGGAGGGGGCGGCAGGGGCGUUCGCCGGCAGCUCUGACACCGAGGAAGGGGGCGGCGGGCCGGCCUCUCCUGGGACCGGGCGAGAGCAGACUCUCGCUACAGCAGAGCUGCAAAAAUGAGGCCCCCUCUGCAGGAUGAAACAUAGGAAAAUAUUCAAAUACCAAAGUAACUAUGGAAAUGGGAGGAACAAAGAAGAAUUCUUGAAAGUCUCUGAGUAAAGAUAAAAGCAAAACAGAAAAAAGGUCUCACAGCAAGGGGUCUGUGACAGAUCUUCAAAUCAGGAAGUCAGAGAAGAUGAAGUGGAGCAGAGCCAAAUCUCCACAUCCAGGGAGAUGGCCUGUAGAUUACAACUACCCUGUUAACUUUCAGGUGCUCACACAGGAGAACAGAACUGGAAACAUAAAAACUGUCUUCUUGGCAUGUGUACUCAUGAGGAACUUCAGGAUUAGGAUACUGCAGGCAUGUGGAGCAAGUUGGCAGGGUGUUAGUCCAUGGCAACACCUCUACCUUUUUGCUCUUUGCGAUUCAGUUGCUUAGACAUGUGUCUGCUACUAAUUCAAUGACAUAUAAAAAGUACUGAAUUU